CCGCUGCUGGCAGGUAGGAGUCGAUGGCUGCCGCUCCAAGGCAGCAGGGGGCGCUGGCUGCCGCUGCUGGCAGGUAGGAGGCGCUGGCUGCCGCUGCUGGCAGGUAGGAGGCGCGGGCUGCCGCUGCUGGCAGGUAGGAGGCGCGGGCUGCCGCUGCUGGCAGGUAGGAGUCGAUGGCUGCCGCUCCAAGGCAGCAGGGGGCGCUGACUGCCGCUGCUGGCAGGUAGGAGUCGCUGGCUGCCGCUGCUGGCAGGUAGGAGGCACGGGCUGCCGCUGCUGGCAGGUAGGAGGCACGGGCUGCCGCUCCAAGGCAGCAGGGGGAGCUGACUGCCGCUGCUGGCAGGUAGGAGGCGCUGGCUGCAGCUCCCGGGCAGCAGGGGGCGCUGGCUGCCGCUCCCGGCCAGCAGGGAACAGUCGGCGCCGUGGCGCAGGCACCGGACGUAGAGGGGACGCCGUCAGGACUUCCCUC
ensembl:lncRNA